AUGAUUGCGAAUGGUUGCCUUCUGUGCUGGCCAGUUUGUUCUGGCAAGUGCACGCUGGUGACUUUCAUCCAAUACCCUGUGCACCUUUGGCCUCUGCUAGCUUCGGCCGGCAGGGGAAUUUACACACACUCGAAUGUAAUGAAAUUUAUUGUCGUGCGCAAGCACUAAUGUA
rnacentral:misc_RNA from 1 species